CAUAUAUUUAAAGUGUGGUAUUUCCACGCUAACUUAUAGGCAUUAUGAUUCCUCGGUCCACGCCAGAUAUAUGAAAACAUUCGAAGGAUCAAGAUGUGUUUUUGAAAUUUCUUAACACAAAGUCAUUAUUUUGAUGGCGCUUGAACGGGACAGAUCCUAUCUACGUAACUUAAAGAUGGAGAGAAAGAACAUUAUUUUUGCAUUGACACUGAUUUCUGCCUCAGCAAUCCUACUAGUAUUGUUCGCCAUCUUAAUACAUCAAUAUUCUUUUGCCACCGAGAACAAAACCAGACCGAAUACUCCUACAACAACAAGUACAAAUCUACAAAACCGAACAGUGCAGUUGUAUGCCAUGAAGGACAAAUACGGCCAAAACUAUCUAAGAUUUGAUUUAAUCAAUUCUGAAUUGGGAAUGUUCACAUAUCGUCACUCACCAGCUAUGGUAUGCCAAGAAAGCGGUUUUUACAACUUCACGCUAUACAUAGUUUAUAAUGAAGAAAACUGCAGAGAAGUAAAUAGCCAUAUAGAUAAUGGGGUCGUUCACAUACAAGUGAUGAAAUCUGAAGACAAUACAAUUGUCAAAGAUCACACAGAAAAGUUUUGGAGCCGUCCGGGCAAUACAUGGAUGGUUCAUGCAACUUUAGAUUUUCACACAAAAUGUCGACAAGGAUUGUUGAUCAAUUCUACAUUCAUUGACUGUAUCUCAUGGAACGAAUCAUACCUAAAUGUCACUAAGGUCAGUUUAUGAAAAUUACUGUGUAGAUGACCGGACUACCAUGUGUUUAUGAUGUUGAUGAACUGAAAAGACUGCAGUGUGGCCCGUAUGAAGUUAUGAUGUUGAACUGUUAAGACUGUGGUGUGGUCCUGUGAUCUGAUGGUGUUGAUUUGUCGCGUAGUCCUGUAUAACUUAAUGUUUUGGCGGACUGUUAAAACUGUUAUGUGGCCAGUGAGACUUUAUGUUGAUGGACUCUCAAAGCUGCCUUGUAUCUAUACAUGACCAAUCAAAUCAUCCUCUCUAUCGUCGUCGUCGUCGGCGUCAUUGCUUCUUUUGCUCAACAAAAUAAAAAGUUAUGAAGACUUCAUUUAAA